CAGCAGCCACGGUAAAACGUAGGUGGCGAGCGUUGUCCGGAAUUAUUGGGCGUAAAGGGAGCGCAGGCGGGCGAGUAAGUCUUUCUUAAAAGUGCGGGGCUCAACCCCGUGAGGGGAGAGAAACUACUCAUCUUGAGUGCAGGAGAGGAAAGCGGAAUUCCUAGUGUAGCGGUGAAAUGCGUAGAUAUUAGGAAGAGCACCAGUGGCGAAGGCGGCUUUCUGGACUGUAACUGACGCUGAGGCUCGAAAGCCAGGGGAGCGAACGGGAUUAGAUACCCCCGUAGUCCCUGUCUCUUAUACA
rnacentral:rRNA from 1 species